rnacentral:rRNA from 1 species
UAGUCAAUGCUCGCAAGAGUGAACUAGCUAACUGAAAUCAUAUAUGUGUCAUAUGUGAUAAAAUAAGGGAAAAUAAUGAUAUUACCUUAUUAUUAGUGUUGUCCAAAACUGGUGCCAGAAGACUCGGUAAGGCCAGAGACGCAAACGUUAGUCGUCCUAAUCAGGCGUAAAGGGUUUGUAGGCUGCUUUAAAAGUCUUAUUUUUAAUAUAGCUAAAAUAAAGAUAAGAUCAAUUAAAGCUAGAAUCAAAUAGAGGGUAAACCAAAUAAUACUUAGAGUAGGGCCGAUAUCCAUAAAUACUAGGUGGAAUACUAAAGGUGAAAGCUUUUUAUCUACUAAUGAUUGACGCUGAGAAACGAAGGUGAGGAAAGGAAACAGGAUUAGAUACCCACAUACCCCUCUCUGUCAACGAUGAAUGGUGGCUUGCUAAUKGAAUAAAACAUUAAAAAGUUUAAUGUAAUUAUAAUAAAAAAUUGGUAGCGAUGUUAACACGAUAACCAUUCCGCCUUGUGAGUACGACUGCAAAGUUGAAAACA